CCUACGGGUGGCUGCAGUGAGGAAUCUUGGUCAAUGGACGAGAGUCUGAACCAGCCAAGUAGCGUGAAGGAUGACUGCCCUAUGGGUUGUAACCUUCUUUUAUAAAGGAAUAAAACGAGGCACGUGUGCCUUUUUGCAUGUACUUUAUGAUUCAGGAUCGGCUAACUCCGUGUCAGCAGCCGCGGUAAUACGGAGGAGCCGAGCGUUACCCGGUUUUUUUGGAUUUAAAGGGAGCGUAGAUGGGUUGUUAAGUCAGUUGUGAAAGUUUGCGGCUCAACAGUAAAAUUGCAAUUGAUACUGGCAGGCUUGAGUACAGUUGAGGUAAGCGGAAUUCGUGGUGUAGCGGUGAAAUGCUUAGAUAUCACGAAGAACCCCGAUUGCGAAGGCAGCUUACUAAACUGUGACUGACAUUGAUGCUCGAAAGUGUGGGUAUCAAACAGGAUUAGAUACCCCGGUAGUC
rnacentral:rRNA from 1 species